UGCAAGCAUUCCUUCUUUCUGGCUCUAUAUAAACCCUGCAUCCUUCACCUCUUCACACAAGGGCAUUCAAGUUUGUCAUUUCAUUUGUUCCAUAUAUAGAAAGUGAACUUUUGUUGAAUGUAGAGAGAAAGAGUGAGAAAAAGGCCCUGUUUGUUUCUCUCUCCCUAACCCUCAUCCUACCCAUUUCAGAAGCAGCAGGUUAUUAUUACUAUUAGCUUUAGUUAUAAGGAGUAGUGAUACACAUCAGAUUUCAUUAAUUCUAUGGAGAUAUAUUAAUGAAGGGUAAGAGAGGUGACAGAAGAGAGUGAGCACACAUGGUAUUUUCUUGGAUGAUAUAAGAUUUCAUGCUUGAAACUAUGCGUGCUCAUUCUCUAUCUGUCACCCAUCAUCAUUUCUUUCUUGUUAUCCUUUGUGAUAUUAUAUAUAUAUAUAUAUAUUGUUUCUUUCUUUCUCACUUUCCCUUUUAUAUGCUAUUAAGUAACCCUAGCUAGCAACUUGGACUCUUGCAGUCAUAUCAUUCAAUAGUAUAUAUGUUAUAUGCGCAUCACAUUCCUUAUCACAGGUUGUAAAAAUUCUUGUUGAUGAAAUGGAUCAACGUCAAUUGAAUCCUCCAGCAAAAGUUUCAAUGGUGUGAAACUAAGACAAACAUAUGUAUUUUCUAUAUAUUUAUGGUUGAAAAAAGGAAGAGCUGUGUGUGGAAAGGGAGUUGUUGUUGUGGAUUUAUCUUGUUAUAUACCUAAAUGAUGAAUGUGUACCUUUAUAUUUAAUUUUAGCAAAAACGAGUGAUGAUAUGGAUAUAAAGAUCUAUAUAUACACAAUCAUGUAAUACUUUGAUCAAUACAUAUGUGCUAGUAUCAAAAGGCAUAAAUUAUGCUAA